UGCUUUUUGUUUUUUAAUUAAAAGUUUUUUCUGCUCAGUGAUUUUAAACAGCCGCGGUAAUUUGACCGUGCAAAGGUAGCAUAAUCAUUUGCCUUGUAAUUGAGGGCUGGUAUGAACGAAAUAACAAAGGCUUUUCUUUAUUUAAAGAGAAAGAUGAAUUUUCUUUCUUAGUGAAGAAGCUAAGAUAAGUAAAGGGGACAAGAAGACCCUUUUGAGCUUUAUUAAAUUUUGUUUUUUUAACUGUGUUUAAUUUGGUUGGGGCGACCUAGGAAUAAGAUCUUCCUUUUUUAAUUUUGAUCCAUAGUUUGUGAUUAAGAGACUAAGUUACCAAAGGGAUAACAGCGUAAUCUUCUUUGAGAGUUCUUAUUAAAGAGGAGGAUUGCGACCUCGAUGUUGACUUAUAGUUUCCUUUUAGUGCAGCCGCUAUUAGGGUGGGUCUGUUCGACCUUUAAUGCUUU
rnacentral:rRNA from 1 species